CGUGUAGGCGGUUUGGUAAGUCAGGUGUGAAAGCCCUGGGCUUAACCCAGGAAGUGCACUUGAAACUGCCUCACUUGAGUAUGGGAGAGGAGAGUGGAACUCCCAGUGUAGAGGUGAAAUUCGUAGAUAUGGGAGGAACACCGUGGCGAAGGCGACUCUCUGGACCAAUACUGACGCUGAGACGCGAAAGCGGUGGGGAGCAAACA
rnacentral:rRNA from 1 species